rnacentral:rRNA from 1 species
GAUGAACGCUAGCUACAGGCUUAACACAUGCAAGUCGAGCGACCGGCGCACGGGUGAGUACCACGUAUCCAACCUGUCCUUUACUCGGAGAUCGCCUUUCGAAAGCAAGAUUAAUACCCGAUGUUAUGGACGGGGAUGCGUUCCAUUAGGUUGUGGGUAUGGUAACGGCUCACCAAGCCUUCGAUGGAUAGGGGUUCGGAGAGGAAGGCCCCCCAGAUUGGAGCUGAGGCACAGUCCAAACUCGUAGGCGGGGCAGGAGUGAGGAAUAUUGGUCAAUGGGCGUUGGCCUGAACCAGCCAAGUGGGGUGAAGGAUGAAGGGUUAUGGGUCGUAAACUUCUGUUAUAUAAGAAUAUGUAUUCUAUGAAUAAGGAUCGGCUAACUCCGUGCCAGCAGCCGCGGUAAUAC